rnacentral:rRNA from 1 species
GAUGAACGCUAGCUACAGGCUUAACACAUGCAAGUCGAGGGGCAGCAUGUCGGUUGCUUGCAACCGAUGAUGGCGACCGGCGCACGGGUGAGUAACGCGUAUCCAACCUACCCUUGUCCAUCGGAUAACCCGUCGAAAGGCGGCCUAACACGAUAUGCGGUUCUCAGCAGGCGUCUAACGAGAACGAAAUGUGAAGGAGAAGGAUGGGGAUGCGUCUGAUUAGCUUGUUGGCGGGGUAACGGCCCACCAAGGCGACGAUCAGUAGGGGUUCUGAGAGGAAGGUCCCCCACAUUGGAACUGAGACACGGUCCAAACUCCUACGGGAGGCAGCAGUGAGGAAUAUUGGUCAAUGGACGGGAGUCUGAACCAGCCAAGUAGCGUGCAGGAUGACGGCCCUAUGGGUUGUAAACUGCUUUUAUAGGGGGAUAAAGUGUGCCACGUGUGGCAUAUUGCAGGUACCCUAUGAAUAAGGACCGGCUAAUUCCGUGCCAGCAGCCGCGGUAAUACGGAAGGUCCGGGCGUUAUCCGGAUUUAUUGGGUUUAAAGGGAGCGUAGGCCGUCUUAUAAGCGUGUUGUGAAAUGUCGGGGCUCAACCUGGGCAUUGCAGCGCGAACUGUGAGACUUGAGUGCGCAGGAAGUAGGCGGAAUUCGUCGUGUAGCGGUGAAAUGCUUAGAUAUGACGAAGAACUCCGAUUGCGAAGGCAGCCUGCUGUAGCGCAACUGACGCUGAAGCUCGAAAGCGUGGGUAUCGAACAGG